AUACGUAGAGUGCGAGCGUUGUCGGGAUUUAUGGGGGUUAAAGAGCUGUCGGGGGGUUGUUGGAGCGUGUGGGGAAUUCCCGGGGUUCAAUUCGGGGCUGGCGGGGGAACCGGCCAUACUUGAGUACCUUAGGGGGAGCCGGAAAUCCCUGGGUAGCGGUGAAAUGCGCAGAUAUCAGGAGGAACACCGGUGGCGAAGGCGGGUCUCUGGGCAGUAACUGACGCUGAGGAGCGAAAGCAUGGGUAGCGAACAGGAUUAGAUACCCUGGUAGUCCAUGCCGUAAACGGUGGGCGCUAGGUGUAGGGGUCUUCCACGACUUCUGUGCCGUAGCUAACGCAUUAAGCGCCCCGCCUGGGGAGUACGGCCGCAAGGCUAAAACUCAAAGGAAUUGACGGGG
rnacentral:rRNA from 1 species